UACGUAGGGUGCGAGCGUUAAUCGGAAUUACUGGGCGUAAAGCGUGCGCAGGCGGUUUUGUAAGCCAAAUGUGAAAUCCCCGGGCUUAACCUGGGAAUGGCAUUUGGGACUGCAAGGCUGGAGUGCGGCAGAGGAGACUGGAAUUCCUGGUGUAGCAGUGAAAUGCGUAGAUAUCAGGAGGAACACCGAUGGCGAAGGCAGGUCUCUGGGCUGACACUGACGCUCAUGCACGAAAGCGUGGGGAGCAAACAGG
rnacentral:rRNA from 1 species